CCACGUAAUCCCACCCUCAAUUAUCACUAACCUCCCACCUAAUCGCACCUCGAAAUAAGCGCUAACCCCAAAUCCCGGCGUCCAGCUCUCCCAAAUCUUGGUUCAGGAAAUCCACCAGGGCGCCCGUGCCCGAUCCUACCUACGCCACUGGCUCCCAUCCUGCCGCCGCCUCCAUUGUGAGAACCGUGGCCAGAAGAGGAGGACGAGCACGGCAACGACGCCAACGCCGUCGUCUCUCCCUGUUCAUAAUAGGUGUGCCGACACCACUCUCCAUCUCCGGCUGCGCGGGCAUGACGCAGCUCGCACGGUGUUGAGCGGCGCCUAUGCAGCAGCCCUUAAACAGCGGCGGCUCGGCACGGGCGGCGACAGGCUGCAGGGCCGCGGCGCUGGCGCUCGUGCGGCACAUGGCGUGGCUCUAACAGGUAGGCAGCUGGGAGCGUCGACGCGUGCAUCACGGCCGCGCCAGCGGGGCAACGACGUAUGCGGAUCUCGAGAUUCACUGGGUGUGCUGCGGCAGCAACAGAGGCUCGCCGCUAGGGGCAACGACGUGUGCAGCUGUUCGUUUUCCUCAUGGGACAAUCGAAGUUUGCCGGUCUUCGGCCGCCCCUUGCUGCUCCAUUCACAUAUAUACAGGUCGAAGUCUUUGUUCUUUCUCUUAGGCCGGAUGAUGUCCUUUGAUUUGUGAUCUGGCUGAAAAAACCCAUUCAGGUUCUGCGUCCGCCCAUCAGGUUCCUUUCUUAUUGACCCUUCAAGCGUGGAGUCUUUUAGAGGCAGCCUUCGUGUUUUUCCCUUCCACUGGAACUCCAUGCAGAGUCUGAGUUCAGGGGAGUGUAUUGGCCUUCAAAAGAAGAAUAAAUGGUUGGUCGUUCAUCUUUGUUAUGUUCCUAGGUCAGUUUCAUGGAAUCCCAUGCUAUUUAUUAUGUAAAUUGCGUUCAAGAUAUUUCCUCUUACGGUCAUGAAGCUUGUGGGCACUUUUUAUCUGUGUCUAGGUCUUUGGAGUUUGCGGUGUGCCGGUUUUAUUGCUCAGAUGAAACAGAUACCGUGUGCUCUUACAGAGUUAAGAUGAAUCUCCUUUGAGUUGCAGGCUGGAAGGUAGUGAAAAUUAAUAAUCUUAAAAGUCUCCACUUUGGAGCAGAAAAAUGUUGAUAGCUCAACAUGCACUAUGAUCCAGGUCAGUAGUUGAACUUAUAAGUCAAAACACACACAAGGGUUCAUGUAAAUAUAUUGCAGGUUCACAUUAUUAUACUAUACACACACAGCAGUCUUGUGUUUGAAGUGGCUAUUACAUAUGUGCUGACCGCACGAAGCCGCAAUUUUUUUUAAUAAACUAUUUCUGAAAAGAUGUGUCAUGUAUUUUCGAGCAAGUUUAAGUCUCCACAAAUCGCUGUAUCUGAUGCAUCGAUAGAUCACUACACUAUGUUUUUUUAUUUAGAAAUGUCUUUUUUUCAGUUGCUUGGUCCUUCUCUCAAGAGACAAAAAAGGGUCAUCAUGAAUUUGCAAUAGUUAGAUCUAUAGUUACAUUUUUUCCGCAGAAUAACACAUGGAAAUUCAUGGUUUAUCAGUUAUAUUCUUAGUGUGUAACUGUAAACAUGUAUGGAUUUCGUCUGCUUCCAAACAUUCUCCUUUUGAUUAUUAUUGGUUGAGGCGUAGCUUUGUUAUGUCGUCUAGAGUUCCAAUAUGCUACAUAUUGGUUGAUAUGUGCAUUGGACGUGCUCGAUUGCAUGUAUAUAUUGCUCCUUUGGCCUCUGCACCUCGAAACAGACACCUCGAUGGCCUGGCAGAUUAUUGCGGCCUUGGAUUUGUAGCCGUGGCCAAUGCGUACACAAGGGCAGUGAUCCGUUUCACCACUUGAGGCCCAGCGGAGGUAUUUCUACUUUCUUGCCCCGAAACUGCUGUACACACGAUUUAUUGAUGCACGACUUGUGCACGACUUGAUUAGAAGCCACGCAGAUUGGGAAAGAAGAAAUCUAAUGGUCUAGAUGACUUGUCGUCUGUCAAUCGUGCAUGAAUCCGUCGUCCGCGUAUCAGUGCUCUUCUUGCCCUCAAUUUUUGUUGCACACCAACUCUUUAUUAGUUACUCUCUCCGUCCCAUAAUGUAACACUUUUUUGACACUACACUAGAGUCAAAAAACGUCUUGCAUAAUGAGGAGGGAGUAUUUUAUAUAGUUUCAUAUCUACUAAUUUUUAAAGACACUAUUUUACUUUGGUUCUUCAACAUUUUGGCCAAUUUAAGCAGAAAAUACUUGAAGCCACAUACAUGAAAUAAUGCAAACUUUAUAUGGUUGUUUUUCUUUCCAUGAUUUCUCUGUUCCCAAAUGUUUGUUUUGGAUGUUGCUUCGCAUAAGAUAACUAUAAACUAUUAUCUGUGACAGUGGCCAAGUCAGAGUCUUAAGUCUUUUUUAAUAAGCAUCGGUAUAUAUUACUUUGCUUGGGGUAACAUGAAACUAUUCUCGGUGACAGUGAAGACCAAACUUUGCAAAGUAAAGACCCCUCCCACAAUUCCUUAGUUCUACUUCUACUACAGACCUGGAUGGUGAAGAAGAGCAUGCUCAACUAUUUUUGAGAGGUUGCAGAACAUGCAAGCAUCGGAGAUGGCAUAGCCUUGUCUGAAACGACAUUGGUUGGUGAACCUCUUACGGUCCGGCAGCCAUAUGGACAAAUCAUAACUAUUCGUUGAAUAUAUUUUCUGAUUCAGAGUUGCAAAAGGGGAGCAUUUUAUAAAAGUACAAAGGCUGUAAAAUAUGUUGUGAUUUGGUAUCUCUCCCUAGGCACAGAACUUUUUUUAUCAUUCUCCUAAUUGUACUAGCCAAUGUCAGGGGUUUAAUUGUGACUAGCAAAAGAGGAUGCAAUGAUUAGGGUUAUUAUGUGCA